UUUCCGUAGGUGAACCUGCGGAGGGAUUCAUUACCGAGUUUACAACUCCCAAAUCCUGUGAACAUACCACUUGUUGCCUCGGCGGAUCAGCCCGCUCCCGGUAAAACGGGACGGCCCGCCAGAGGACCCCUAAACUCUGUUUCUAUAUGUAACUUCUGAGUAAAACUAUAAAUAAAUCAAAACUUUCAACAACGGAUCUCUUGGUUCUGGCAUCGAUGAAGAACGCAGCAAAAUGCGAUAAGUAAUGUGAAUUGCAGAAUUCAGUGAAUCAUCGAAUCUUUGAACGCACAUUGCGCCCGCCAGUAUUCUGGCGGGCAUGCCUGUUCGAGCGUCAUUUCAACCCUCAAGCACAGCUUGGUGUUGGGACUCGCGUUAAUUCGCGUUCCCCAAAUUGAUUGGCGGUCACGUCGAGCUUCCAUAGCGUAGUAGUAAAACCCUCGUUACUGGUAAUCGUCGCGGCCACGCCGUUAAACCCCAACUUCUGAAUGUUGACCUCGGAUCAGGUAGGAAUACCCGCUGAACUUAAGCAUAUCAAUAAGGCCGGGAG
rnacentral:rRNA from 1 species